rnacentral:rRNA from 1 species
UGGGGAAUUGUUCACAAUGGGCGCAAGCCUGAUGACGCAACGCCGCGUGGAGGAUGAAGGUCUUCGGAUUGUAAACUCCUGUUGCUCGGGACGAAAAGCUCUGACCCAACACGUCAGAGUCUGACGGUACCGAGUGAGGAAGCCCCGGCUAACUCUGUGCCAGCAGCCGCGGUAAUACAGAGGGGGCAAGCGUUGUUCGGAAUUACUGGGCGUAAAGGGCGCGUAGGAGGCCCUCUAAGUCAGACGUGAAAUCCCCGGGCUCAACCCGGGAACUGCGUCUGAUACUGGAGGGCUUGAAUCCGGGAGAGGGAUGCGGAAUUCCAGGUGUAGCGGUGAAAUGCGUAGAUAUCUGGAGGAACACCGGUGGCGAAGGCGGCAUCCUGGACCGGUAUUGACGCUGAGGCGCGAAAGCCAGGGGAGCAAACGGGAUUAGAUACCCUCGUAGUCCCUGAGCGGGCUGGCAAGGCGCAU